GGGUCGGUAGCUUAAAGUUAAAGCGGUGGCCUCAUAAGCUAACGAGUAGGAGUUAGAUUCUCCUCCGACCCACCA
rnacentral:tRNA from 6 species